CUCUCUCUCUCUGCCACACACACAUAUCAUACGAGGAAGCUCUAGUUUGACUCAUUCCUUUCUUAUACGCGUACAGGUAUGUACUUCCAUAUCUAUUAGUGUAUAUCUCUCAAUUUCUUAUUCAAUACAUUAUAGUAAGCAGUACAUUAUUGUUUCUAACUUGGAAUCAAGAUUUCAUUGAUUAUCAGCAAGUUUGAAUUUGUUGUGUCAAGAACUGGUAAAUUUGAAUUUGGAAGCUAAAAGUCCUAGUAUUGAAUUUGCUUGAUUUAUAUGUGAUAUUAAAUUAGUUCGUUGAUCAUGCUAAUUGGAUUUUUCUAGUUGAUUGUUCUAUUACCAUUGACAUUGACAUGAAUCAUUAUCACCUGGUAUAAGUGUAUUCAUCAUUGCUUUUGCUGUUGGAACUUUUGCUUGUUGGAUGUUGUAGAUGUCUUUGGUGAUUUCUAUGAUCAUAUUUUUUUGUAUAUGUUUGGAGAAAAGAGGGAGGGUGGAAGGAAAACUAACUAAUUUAUUUGGUCCAAUCAAGAAACAUAUAACAAAUUCUAGAUUCUUACAAUUCCUUUUACAUAGUUGAUGUGAAUUUUCAUGUCUAGAAGGUGAGAAGUUUGUGCUUACCUAAAAAUAGAACUGUUAGAAGUCCAUGUGUGCAAAUUGUUCUUAUUGAAAAUUUUAUAAGCACUCAAAUCUAAAGAUGGUAACAAGUAUGUAGAAUUGCAUAAUUGAAUUGGUUGUAAACAUGAUAAUUUAAACAUACUAAAUGAAUCAUUUGCUUGUUUGCUUUGUUUACUAUAUAUAUAGAUGGGCUUAAAGCAAUUUUCUAUCAUCCUAGUGCUCAAUAAAUAAAUAAAUAAAUAAAUUUGUGUUGCUCUUUGCAUUUUACUUAUUUCUUGAUUUUUUCUUAAGGAAAAUUGUUUCCAGAAAUUUAACCUAAUUUGGGGAGAAGAGAUACCUAUUUACUCUAGGAAUUUAACCUAAUUUGGAUUGCCUAAAACCAAUGUUUGGAACAAAUGUUUAAUAAGUACUGAUUUGUGCUUUGGAUAGAUGAUUGAUAAUAAGGGAUUUACGCUACUUGAGCCUUGAUUUUUUAAGUAGUUCUGAUUGCAAGUAUAUAUUGGAGAUCAAUCAUGCUUGAUCCUACUUAGUAUUUCAUAUAAUUUAAAAAAUAAAUGUUAUAUUUCGAUACUUCACCAUUGUUAUUCUGUUGUUUGGAUUAAUCUUUUGUAGAAUGGGAGUUUGGCUCUUCAUUAUUAAAUUAAAUGCUCUUCAAAAGAGCCAAUUUUUAGAAUGAAGAGUAAAUUUUUGUCUAUUUUGUAUAGUUGGUUUCAGAGGCAGAUAAUCCAUCUUUAAACCGAUUUUUAUAUUUUGCAAGGACUUUUGAAUAAGUUUUCGAUGUAUAGUUGUCUUAGAUUUUCUUUUGUAUGCGGAUUGCACCUACUUGGUGCCUUUUAAAUAUGUUUUCUACAUAAAAUAAAAUUUAUUUUGGUGGUCAACAUCUUUUAAUGGUUAUCAUCUAGUGAUUUGCUUCUGUAUAGGUUUUGGUCUUCAUGGAUGUUGGACAAUUAACUUUUGUAAUGUUUUGCAGGCAGUACAGAAGCUGAUUGAUGAAAAGUUUCAAGGAAUAAUACACCUGCGCAUUUCAACAUUGCAUAAGAAGAUUGCAUCUGAUCGCCAAGAUUCUGUCAAACUUUCAGAUUCUGAAAACAAGUUGGAGGCAUUGUUGCAGAUCCAAAAUCAUCCGGUGAUCCCAAGUUUGUGAAGGCAUAUGAACUAAGUUCAGAGGAAUCAGAAGAUGUUCUUUUCAAGCAGACCAUUCAUGUUUCACCUCCUUGCAAAACCAUGAGGGAGAAAGAGGAGAGUAGGAAGAGAUUGAAUUCAACAAGUGAAUAGCUUGAAAUUUAGAGGAGAUUGGAGAGGAUUUGGAAGAUUGAGCUACCACACUUGGAAAUUCAAGACUCAAGGUAGGAAUCUACCUUUUUAAUUGUGAAUUGAAGUUGUUUAAUGCAUGGAUUCAUGGAAAUCAGGGACUAAAGUCAAGAAAUAGCUUAAAGAGUGGAUUUGAGAAUUAAUUCAUGCAUGCAUGGCCAUAUCAUAGAAUUUUGAAGUUGUUUUCAUAAAAUUUCCACAUGCAUGUUCAUAUUAUGGUUGUACUCUAGAAAUUCACCAUGUUUUUGAGUUGAAUCUUGUAUUUGAUCAUACUUUGAAGU